UACAGGGGGGGCAAGCGUUGUUCGGAAUUAUUGGGCGUAAAGAGCUCGUAGGCGGUUUGUCGCGUCUGCCGUGAAAGUCCGGGGCUCAACUCCGGAUCUGCGGUGGGUACGGGCAGACUAGAGUGAUGUAGGGGAGACUGGAAUUCCUGGUGUAGCGGUGAAAUGCGCAGAUAUCAGGAGGAACACCGAUGGCGAAGGCAGCUCGCUGGGACGUUACUGACGCUGAGACGCGAAAGCGUGGGGAGCAAACAGG
rnacentral:rRNA from 1 species